UUAUUGCAUAAGGCAAUGCAUGGGUCUAUAAAUAUAACCAGCUGAUAAAUAAGGAUCUUUGCGUGCUCGAGACAUCAUCAGUUGCUCAAGGAGACAGAAACAGACUCGAGCUUCCUUUGUUUUUGUUCCAAAAUGCCUCUCACGGAGAGUCAAGAUAGAAGAUCUCCAUCAGGAUACCCAACUGAAACUCCCACCACCGGGAAGAAAUGCUGCCCUCGCAAAAAAAAGCAGAGACAAAGCUUCAUCAAGAGACUCCUCUGUUGCUGCUGGCGUUUUGGAACUUGCUGCUGGCCUUGUGGAACUUGCUGCUAAACUGUGAUCCAAAUAGCAAAACUUGUGUACCGGAUGUGUGGCCUUUGAUUUUCCUGCUUUUCUGUGAUCAUAUAUUGUAAUAAAAGUGACUGGUUUUAUUAA